rnacentral:lncRNA from 1 species
GCUACACUGUAAUGCAUGGCCUGAGGUUGUUCCUGUUGAGGAAUUGCCGAAGGUCCCGGUGCUGCUAUACUGUAAUGUAUGGUCAGAGGUUGCUCUGGUUGAGGAGCCGUGGAAGGUCCCGGAGCUACGCUGUAAUGUAUGGACUGAGGUUGCUCUUGUUGGUGAGUCACUGAAGGUCCCGCUGCUAUACUGUAAUGUAUGGACCGAGGUCGUGUUGCCUGUAUCAUUACUGCAACAUCAGCCGCUGCGAUAGCUGCAGCUUCCUGGUUUGAUU